AUUGAACGCUGGCGGUAUGCUUAACACAUGCAAGUCGAACGAUGAAAUUCCAGCUUGCUGGAAUCGAUUAGUGGCGGACGGGUGCGUAACGCGUGGGAAUCUACCUUGUAGUGGGGGAUAGCCCGGAGAAAUCCGGAUUAAUACCGCAUAAUCUCUACGGAGCAAAGUGGGGGAUCUUCGGACCUCACGCUAUUAGAUGAGCCCGCGUUAGAUUAGCUUGUUGGUGAGGUAAUGGCUCACCAAGGCUACGAUCUAUAGCUGGUUUGAGAGGAUGAUCAGCCACACUGGGACUGAGACACGGCCCAG
rnacentral:rRNA from 1 species